CAUCCCCUGGAUGUGAACCCGAGCGCCGGGGUCGGGGGACGUUUGUACCCAUUUAGCCGGUGG
rnacentral:precursor_RNA from 1 species